UAGAAAGUAGUAUAAUGAAGUACAAAGAAUUUUGAUUUCUUAAGUGCUAGCUCAACCCCAGCCUUUNUAA
rnacentral:tRNA from 1 species